rnacentral:piRNA from 1 species
UGAGGAUGCUGAGCACUUGUUGAAGUGUC